CUUGGGGAGCCCUCCUAGUCACGGUGGGACUGUGGCUAAACUGCGCAGAAGCUGGAGGCUCAGGAAGAAAUCCCUCUUGUUCGGGAGGAUGGAAGCCUUGGUGCGCUUGUGCCUCUCUGUCGUCUCAGACCUGCACAGCCCGCUCUGUUCCCUUCCCCAUCUUCUCUCCCCGGACUUCCUUUAAUUCAGAGGGAAAGGACUACUUUUCUGCUCCAAAAUACGGGCCUUCGCUAUCAAUACUGUAACAAUGUAAAAUUUCAGGAGGAAAGACUACCAACUUUCUUAGGUGCCUCCUUUUCCCUCUACCUCGCCCCUCAAAACACGGUAUCCAUACUGAAGCUGUUCAUUUUGUUAUCGACUUCCUUAAAUUGUCAUGCUGAUGCCAGCUGUAAAGUAGAUUUGUUGGUAGCCUCUGAGUUGCUGUUGAAGCUGUG
rnacentral:lncRNA from 1 species